rnacentral:rRNA from 1 species
UUCCAGACUCCUACGGGAGGCAGCAGUGAGGAAUAUUGGUCAAUGGGCUUACGCCUGAACCAGCCAAGUCGCGUGAGGGAAGACUGCCCUAUGGGUUGUAAACCUCUUUUGUCAGGGAGCAACGCCGGCUACGUGUAGCCGGACUGAGAGUACCUGAAGAAAAAGCAUCGGCUAACUCCGUGCCAGCAGCCGCGGUAAUACGGAGGAUGCGAGCGUUAUCCGGAUUUAUUGGGUUUAAAGGGAGCGUAGGGCGGUCUUUAAGCGUGCCGUGAAAUUUUGUGGCUCAACCAUGAGAGUGCGGCGCGAACUGGAGACCUUGAGUGCGCGGAAGGCAGGCGGAAUUCGUGGUGUAGCGGUGAAAUGCUUAGAUAUCACGAAGAACCCCGAUUGCGAAGGCAGCAUACCGGCUCCACACUGACGCUGAGGCACGAAAGCGUGGGUAUCGAACAGGAUUAGAUACCCCUGUACA